GACGAACGCUGGCGGCGUGCUUAACACAUGCAAGUCGUACGGUAAGGCCCUUUCGGGGGUACACGAGUGGCGAACGGGUGAGUAACACGUGAGUAACCUGCCCACAACUUUGGGAUAACGCUAGGAAACUGGUGCUAAUACUAGAUAUGUGCUCCUGCUGCAUGGUGGGGGUUGGAAAGCUCCGGCGGUUGUGGAUGGACUCGCGGCCUAUCAGCUUGUUGGUGGGGUAGUGGCCUACCAAGGCGGCGACGGGUAGCCGGCCUGAGAGGGUGACCGGCCACAUUGGGACUGAGAUACGGCCCAGACUCCUACGGGAGGCAGCAGUGGGGAAUAUUGCACAAUGGGCGCAAGCCUGAUGCAGCAACGCCGCGUGCGGGAUGACGGCCUUCGGGUUGUAAACCGCUUUCAGCAGGGACGAAGCUUUUUGUGACGGUACCUGCAGAAGAAGCACCGGCUAACUACGUG
rnacentral:rRNA from 1 species